UACGUAGGGUGCGAGCGUUGUCCGGAAUUAUUGGGCGUAAAGAGCUCGUAGGCGGUUUGUCACGUCGGGAGUGAAAACUCGGGGCUUAACUCCGAGCUUGCUUCCGAUACGGGCAGGCUAGAGGCAUGCAGGGGAGAACGGAAUUCCUGGUGUAGCGGUGAAAUGCGCAGAUAUCAGGAGGAACACCGGUGGCGAAGGCGGUUCUCUGGGCAUGUCCUGACGCUGAGGAGCGAAAGUGUGGGGAGCGAACAGG
rnacentral:rRNA from 1 species